AUAAUACUUCCUCCAUCCCAAAAUUCUUGUCUUAGAUUUGUCUAAAUACGGAUGUAUCAAGUCACAUUUUAGUAUUAGAUACAUCUGUAUCUAGACAAAUUUAAGACAAGAAUUUUGAGACGAAGGGAGUACUAA
rfam:Triticum urartu cultivar G1812 contig726704, whole genome shotgun sequence.